UAGGGAAUCUUCCGCAAUGGACGCAAGUCUGACGGAGCAACGCCGCGUGAGUGAAGAAGGAUUUCGGUUCGUAAAACUCUGUUGUUAGAGAAGAACAGCGCAUAGAGUAACUGUUAUGCGUGUGACGGUAUCUAACCAGAAAGCCACGGCUAACUACGUGCCAGCAGCCGCGGUAAUACGUAGGUGGCAAGCGUUGUCCGGAUUUAUUGGGCGUAAAGCGAGCGCAGGCGGUCAAUUAAGUCUGAUGUGAAAGCCCCCGGCUCAACCGUGGAGUGUCAUUGGAAACUGGUUGACUUGAGUGCCGAAGAGGAGAGUGGAAUUCCAUGUGUAGCGGUGAAAUGCCUAGAUAUAUGGGGGAACACCAGUGGCGAAGGCGACUCUCUGGUCUGUACCUGACGCUGAGGCUCGAAAGCGUGGGUAGCAAACAGG
rnacentral:rRNA from 1 species